rfam:Triticum aestivum genome assembly, contig: Triticum_aestivum_CS42_TGACv1_scaffold_406013_5BL
CAACUACUCCCUCCGUUCGGAAUUACGUGUCUCGAAAAUGGAUGUAUCUAGAACUAAAAUACGUCUAGAUACAACCAUUUCUACGACAAGUAAUUUCGAACGGAGGGAGUAGCAC